AAGGGCACUACCAGGAGUGGAUCCUGCGGCUCAAUUUGACUCAACACGGGAAAGCUCACCUGGUCCGGACACUGGAAGGAUUGACAGAUUAAGAGCUCUUUCUGAUUCAGUGGGUGGUGGUGCAUGGCCGUUCUUAGUUGGUGGAGCGAUUUGUCUGGUUAAUUCCGAUAACGAACGAGACUCUAGCCUACUAAAUAGGUGUUCCGAUCCCAUCAGUCGGACGCUCUUCUUAGAGGGACAAGCGGCGUUUAGCCGCACGAGACAGAGCAAUAACAGGUCUGUGAUGCCCUUAGAUGUCCGGGGCCGCACGCGCGCUACACUGAAGGAACCAGCGUGUGUCCCUGUCCGGCAGGACUGGGUAAUCCGUUGAACCUCCUUCGUGAUAGGGAUAGGGGCUUGUAAUUGUUCCCCUUGAACGAGGAAUUCCCAGUAAGCGUGAAUCAUCAGUUCACGUUGAUUACGUCCCUGGCCUUUGUACUCACCGCCAGUCGCUACAACUGAUUGGAUGUAUAAUGAGUU
rnacentral:rRNA from 1 species